rnacentral:lncRNA from 1 species
AAUUUACCAGCCAGCGCUGGUGCAUUCGACCUCUGCGCAACGAGAUACAAUUGGUGAGCGCCGCUCUUGUUGGGCUCUGGCCAGCUCUUCGGGCAGCCGGGGGUGUCUGUCGGGAGCCCCCCGGCCGGUUCCCGGGAGGGAUGCACGGGAGGAGUCCCGGGGUCCCGGGGGACUCCUCGGCCGCUCUCCGUGGUGCUGCAGCCGCCGCCCGCGGUGCCUCCUGCGGGAGGGCAGGAUCCCCUUCCCCGGGAGCACGGCCGGCCGUGCCGCUAACUCCUCCCUUCGGAUGCAAGGGCUGCACCGCCACAAGCCAUCCUCUCGCCGCCCCCCUCCUUCUCCUUUCUCCCGUUUCGACAGAGCGAGCGGGCUUGCUCUGCCUGCGCGGCGGCGGCUGCCCACCGCGGACCCCGUGGGCUUGGGGCGGGUGCUUUAAUUUUGGCAGGACCUGCCCGCCGCCCUUCCCGGAUAAACUUGGGCCGGCGCCCCCCGGCACCGCGUUUUGGGGCUGGUGGGCUCCCGGCUGCCUGCGGGGAUGCCCAGCAUCCAAUAAUGCAAUGGCUGGAAGACCACAACGUGUCAGAUUAACUGGGUGGACACAUUGGAUAUUAGCAACAAUUCUGCUGCUGUGGAGUUACCAGAUCAGUGGACAAGGUGUAAAUGGAGCAGCAGGGCUCUGGAGAGUGCUGCUGGGUCGCAGGGCUGUGGUGCCCUGGCAUUGCCAGGUGGGCUGGGCUGGAACAGGAGGGGAGCUUCUGGUGGCUGCAAGGGGUCCAGCUGAGCAAAAACAUUGAGGUAGGACAGCUCGGUACCAAGUCCCUGACAGAAAAGCAAAUACACCAUUCUGGAAUGCAUAAUCAUUUCAAAUGUUUGCUGGGCUUUGGGAGAAAAGGUGAUCACGAUGUAGAAGAAAGAAUAUACUGAGGAUUAAAAAAGCCUGCUUGCCAAUCCACUGUUUGCUUUUACUGAAUAAACAACUUUUCAUGAUUUUUAGAAAAAUAUUU